UGGCAUGCCCGAGCGAGGGCUCAGUGU
rnacentral:piRNA from 1 species